rnacentral:rRNA from 1 species
GCAAGUCGAACGAUGAAGCAGAGCUUGCUCUGUGGAUUAGUGGCGCACGGGUGCGUAACACGUGGGAAUCUACCCUUUAGUAAGGAACAACAGUUGGAAACGACUGCUAAUACCUUAUAUGGCUUCGGCUGAAAGAUUUAUCGCUAAAGGAUGAGCCCGCGGUGGAUUAGCUUGUUGGUAAGGUAAUGGCUUACCAAGGCGACGAUCCCUAGCUGGUCUUAGAGGAUGACC